GUAGGAUAAGCUAAGCACACUGUUGGUUAUGUGUGCCCAAGCAUUGAGGCAGUCAAAGUAGGCAAAUCCGCUUUGAUAAUGCUGGGAUGUGAUGGGGAGCGAAAUUUAGUAGCGAAGUAGCUGAUUUCACACUGUCAAGAAAAGUCUCUAUCGAGGUUAAAGGUACCCGUACCGCAAACCGACACAGGUGGGUGAGGAGAGUAUCCUAAGGCCAGCGAGAGAACUGUUGUUAAGGAACUCGGCAAAAUGACCCCGUAACUUA
rnacentral:rRNA from 1 species